rnacentral:rRNA from 1 species
GUGGGGAAUAUUGGGCAAUGGGCGAAAGCCUGACCCAGCAACGCCGCGUGAGGGAAGAAGGCCUUCGGGUUGUAAACCUCUGUCCUUGGUGACGAAAAAAAUGACGGUAGCCAAGUAGGAAGCCCCGGCUAACUACGUGCCAGCAGCCGCGGUAAUACGUAGGGGGCGAGCGUUGUCCGGAAUUACUGGGCGUAAAGGGUGCGUAGGUGGCCUUUUAAGUUGGAUGUGAAAUACCCGGGCUUAACUUGGGGGGUGCAUCUAAUACUGGAGGGCUAGAGUGCAGGAGAGGGAAGCGGAAUUCCUAGUGUAGCGGUGAAAUGCGUAGAUAUUAGGAGGAACACCAGUGGCGAAGGCGGCUUUCUGGACUGUAACUGACACUGAGGCACGAAAGCGUGGGGAGCAAACAGGAUUAGAAACCCGGGUAGUCC